GAUGAACGCUAGCGACAGGCCUAACACAUGCAAGUCGAGGGGCAGCAUGAAAGUAGCUUGCUACUUUUGAUGGCGACCGGCGCACGGGUGCGUAACAGGUGUGCAAUCUGUCCAUAAUCGGGGAAUAGCCCAGCGAAAGUUGGAUUAAUGCUCCAUGUGAGUUUUAGAGGCAUCUCUUUAACUUGAAACGCAAGGAUUAUGGGUGAGCACGCUUCUGAUUAGGUAGUUGGUGAGGUAACGGCUCACCAAGCCGACGAUCAGUAGGGGUUCUGAGAGGAAGGUCCCCCACAUUGGAACUGAGACACGGUCCAAACUCCUACGGGAGGCAGAAGUGAGGAAUAUUGGUCAAUGGACGGAAGUCUGAACCAGCCAAGUCGCGUGAAGGAUGAAGGUUCUAUGGAUUGUAAACUUCUUUUGUCUGAGGGUAAAAAAGCGGACGUGUCCGUUCUUGCAAGUAUCAGACGAAUAAGCAUCGGCUAACUCCGUGCCAGCAGCCGCUGUAACAC
rnacentral:rRNA from 1 species